GAUACGCCCAAAUAAUGGUGCACCUGUGCCGCGCGGAGAUCCUCAUCUCGCUCAUCUUUUUGGCUCAUGGCACCACAUGCCCCGGCUACCCGACAGAAGCCGAAUACCAAUCCACGUGCCAUAUGAAUACGGUAUCAGCAAUUGUCAGCUUGCUCACCGGAGCCAUGGGAUUGGGCGCUGUGCAUAGAUAUCGGUGGAGGACCAUGCUAAUCUUGUGGCUCGUUUUUUGUAUCAUGUCGGCUGUCGGAAGUCUGCUAGCUGUGAUUACUACAGGUAAGAGAGUUUUUUGCCGAAUGGCUUAUAUCUCGAUCAGAUUGAAAGUUGUUCAGAAAUUUUUCAACAAAGUUAUACUUUUUUGAUAUCCAUUAAAGUUGAGUAAAACUAAAACAAUGUCAUUUUUCUUCAUGGUGCAUUGUUGAACAUAGAAACUGAUACAACAAGUUGUUUGUCAAUAACUUUUGGAUAAAACCAAAAAGAACUGAGAUAUCAACUCUCAAAAUCAGGCAAACAUGGUGCAACGAAAACUUCAUCUUUGGUUUUAUAAAAAUUAUUAGCUAACUUUAUACACUGUUCCUUUAAAAUUAACCGAGGUAUGGGAUUUCAAUUAAUUUUUUUCUCAGGCAUCUGGCUCGACCACUACUCAAAAAUGAAAGUCCGCACGGCAAUCGGCAACGGGUUAUCCGGUUUCAUGCUUUUGGCAUCAGUUGCUCUUGGAGUGUGCUUCAUCUUGACCGCUGUCAUGAUUUGUCAUUAUUGGAACUCCAACACCACCGGCUAUCAGCCAGUGCAGAAAAUUGCA
rnacentral:sRNA from 1 species